rnacentral:lncRNA from 1 species
GUGGUUCCCUGUUCCAUGUUUCCCCGUGGUCAGCAACACCAAACAAUCCCUGAUCAUUCUGAGAGUCAUCGGUUGGAGAAGGGAGAUAAUACAGAACGGGGAAACAGUCUGUAACACUGGGGUAAAUUCAGGUCUCUCGGGGUCUGUCAGGAUUCCCAUGAUGCAUCUUGUCGGUUAUAAGGACUGGGCUGGGCAGUGUGAAUACCUUUUUUAAUGGUAUUUGUUAAGCAAAGCAGAUUAGUGCUCAGAGUCACUCAUUCACACACACACAAACACAUACCCUAAUCACUCCCUGAGAGAGGGGCGAUUUGAGGAAAGUGGCUGAUAAAUGCUUCCUCAGCCUUGUCGUGACAGAGUCUGACUGCCCGCGAGCUGCCCUCUCAGCCAACAAGAGCGAUGGAGAAUGGCAAGUAGCAUAGGGGGUCGCUCUCGGGCACUGGGGCUUUAAGGUUAAUUCUAGAGCUUGGACUGGAGUGCUUCGUAUAGGAGCUGGUGGAAAGGGACAGCAAGAUUCAGCAUUCCCUGCUUCAGCCCUGGAGGCCACUUCGAAUUUGCAAGAAGCAACAAACAGAGCUGCAAAGACCAUCUACCCUGCCCUCGAGAGAUACGCGUUGGCCCAGUAGCAGAAGGGGAGCAGAACUUUUGAUUUACUAGCCUGCCUCCAAUAAAUGAUCUCCCCAUGGCUGCCAGGCCAUCUCCAGGAGAAGUUCUGGAAAAGAAAAACUUGAAACCAUGUUCCCUGCAGGACAAACUAAAGACUGACAUUUUUGCCUGCUUGGUGGCCACGGGAUUCCUGCUGAUCAUAGUUACAGUUUUCCAAAUUCUGAUUUUUUGUUACAUUAAAUGGGUUGGUUUUUAUCCUACAACUGCCAAGGGAAGCAUUCUGCUCGGGGAAAGACCUAUUCAGCCAUACAGAUUUGGCUUUGUGGACUGUAACAGCUGAUCCCACAAGGUCAGUUUCCACUCUGGAAACUUUCCAAAGAUUCCUGUGGGUUCUGUGCCUAUUUUUGAGAAUAAGCCAAGAGGAGUAACCAAAAUGCCCUCCCAUUCUGGGGAUUUUGCAGCCAGGACCAUGUGUUAGAGGCUGUCAAACCAGAGGUUGCCUGGAAUCACCAGUGUUACAUAGUAGGAGCACUUUGUGAGCCACCCCCACUGGGUGUGGGGCUCUAUACAAUAUUCUUGAAAAUUACAGAAUUGUGAAAUUUUACAUUCCCUGCCUAUGAGAACCUAUGGUGCAGUUACAAGAUUUUUUUUGUCAUUCCCCAUUAGAGCAGUCCAAAUACAUAAUUGAGAAUACAUAUACAUGAGUACUGAGAUUGAUUAUGAAUAAAUUAGUAACCACUAGAUUUGGCUGAUGGAAAUGUGUGGCUCACUGUUCUGGAAGAUUAAUGAGAGAAACCUUGUUAGAGGAGGUGAGAAAAUAGGAGGUAUCGAAUGUGGGGAGGGAGUACCAAUAUGGAGGAACCAUGUGAGUGAGGGAACAGAGCUGGA